rnacentral:rRNA from 1 species
AGUGAACGCUGGCGGUAGGCCUAACACAUGCAAGUCGAACGGCAGCACAGUAAGAGCUUGCUCUUAUGGGUGGCGAGUGGCGGACGGGUGAGGAAUACAUCGGAAUCUACCUUUUCGUGGGGGGAUAACGUAGGGAAACUUACGCUAAUACCGCAUACGACCUUCGGGUGAAAGCAGGGGACCUUCGGGCCUUGCGCGGA